UUUUGGCGCACCGUAUUUUUGCGAAACAUCAACUUCAAGCUCUACUUACCUGCGACUUGAUCAUACGCCAGACACUGCGUGGGCGGAAGCAAAGACGUCUUGCCCAAUCCACUUGCUCGCCCCUUGCUGAUUCACCACAUGACCGGUUCUACAGUUUCCACUAUGGGUCAUCGGCACCAGGACAGGAGACAGGGCUUAUUGCCUUUAUUUUUGACAGGACAGUGGAGGAGAGACAGGAAUGAGAAGAAGGGAGAGACGGGGAAGGAUCGGCAAAUGAUACGGACCGGAAUCAAACCCGGGUCGCUGGCGUAGUAACCCAGUGCCCUACCAUUAGGCCACGGCAGGACCCAUUUAAAAUUCAAUAUUGAGUAGAGCUACAUGUCCAUGUUUUAAAUGAGGCCAAAUGACUGGUGCGUCCAGGUGUUUUGUUUAUAGUAUUUAUAAGUAGAUGUUGUGAUAACAGAGGAUUUCCAGUUGA